rnacentral:rRNA from 1 species
CGGCGUGGAUAAGACAUGCAAGUCGAACGGGAGAAUUGCUAGCUUGCUAAUAAUUCUCUAGUGGCGCACGGGUGAGUAACACGUGAGUAACCUGCCUCUUAGUGGGGGAUAGCCCUGGGAAACCGGGAUUAAUACCGCAUACGAUUGAAAGAUCAAAGCAGCAAUGCGCUAGGAGAUGGGCUCGCGGCCUAUUAGUUAGUUGGUGAGGUAACGGCUCACCAAGGCGAUGACGGGUAGCCGGUCUGAGAGGAUGUCCGGCCACACUGGAACUGAGACACGGUCCAGACACCUACGGGUGGCAGCAGUCGAGAAUCAUUCACAAUGGGGGCAACCCUGAUGGUGCGACGCCGCGUGGGGGAAUGAAGGUCUUCGGAUUGUAAACCCCUGUCAUGUGGGAGCAAAUUAAAAAGAUAGUACCACAAGAGGAAGAGACGGCUAACUCUGUGCCAGCAGCCGCGGUAAUACAGAGGUCUCAAGCGUUGUUCGGAAUCACUGGGCGUAAAGCGUGCGUAGGCUGUUUCGUAAGUCGUGUGUGAAAGGCAGGGGCUCAACCCCUGGAUUGCACAUGAUACUGCGAGACUAGAGUAAUGGAGGGGGAACCGGAAUUCUCGGUGUAGCAGUGAAAUGCGUAGAUAUCGAGAGGAACACUCGUGGCGAAGGCGGGUUCCUGGACAUUAACUGACGCUGAGGCACGAAGGCCAGGGGAGCGAAAGGGAUUAGAUACCCCUGUAGUCCUGGCAGUAAACGGUGCACGCUUGGUGUGCGGGGAAUCGACCCCCUGCGUGCCGGAGCUAACGCGUUAAGCGUGCCGCCUGGGGAGUACGGUCGCAAGAUUAAAACUCGAAGAAAUUGACGGGGACCCGCACAAGCGGUGGAGUAUGUGGCUUAAUUCGAUGCAACGCGAAGAACCUUACCUGGGCUUGACAUGUAAUGAACAACAUGUGAAAGCAUGCGACUCUUCGGAGGCGUUACACAGGUGCUGCAUGGCCGUCGUCAGCUCGUGUCGUGAGAUGUUUGGUUAAGUCCAGCAACGAGCGCAACCCCUGUUGCCAGUUACCAGCACGUCAAGGUGGGGACUCUGGCGAGACUGCCCAGAUCAACUGGGAGGAAGGUGGGGACGACGUCAGGUCAGUAUGGCCCUUAUGCCCAGGGCUGCACACGUACUACAAUGCCCAGUACAGAGGGGGCCGAAGCCGCGAGGCGGAGGAAAUCCUGAAAACUGGGCCCAGUUCGGACUGUAGGCUGCAACCCGCCUACACGAAGCCGGAAUCGCUAGUAAUGGCGCAUCAGCUACGGCGCCGUGAAUACGUUCCCGGGUCUUGUACACACCGCCCGUCACAUCAUGGAAGCCGGUCGCACCCGAAGUAUCUGAAGCCAACCGCAAGGAGGCAGGGUCCUAAGGUGAGACUGGUAACUGGGAUGAAGUC